rnacentral:misc_RNA from 1 species
ACCAUCAAGCCUGGCUUGUCGUUGGACCCUUUGUCGCGAGACCCACGCGAUAGGUCCGAAAGAUAAUGAACGGUGUCCUGGCGACCCUUAAUGCAACGAGCUUUUGAUAGCACGCAUUAAAGUGGUUGGCUAGGCCCGCUCUCAACCCAUCAAUUUCUCAGGUUGACCUCGGAUCAGGUAGGAAUACCCGCUGAACUUAA